rnacentral:lncRNA from 1 species
ACCCCCCAACAGCCCUCCAACAGCCCAUCCAGUCCUCCAGUACCCCCCAAUAGCCCUCCUCCAGUCCCCCCAACAGCCCAUCUCCAGUCCUCCAGUACCCCCAACAGCCCUCCUCCAGUCCCCCAACAGUCCAACUCCAGUCCUCCAGUCCUCCAGUCCCCCCAACAGCCCAUCUCCAGUCCUCCAGUACCCCCAACAGCCCUCCUCCAGUCCCCCCAACAGCCCAUCUCCAGUCCUCCAGUACCCCCAACAGCCCUCCUCCAGUCCCCCCAACAGUCCAACUCCAGUCCUCCAGUCCUCCAGUCCCCCCAACAGCCCAUCUCCAGUCCUCCAGUACCCCCAACAGCCCAUCUCCAGUCCUCCAGUACCCCCCAACAGCCCAUCUCCAGUCCUCCAGUACCCCCAACAGCCCAUCUCCAGUCCUCCAGUACCCCCAACAGCCCAUCUCCAGUCCUCCAGUACCCCCAACAGCCCAUCCAGUCCUCCAGUACCCCCCAACAGCCCAUCUCCAGUCCUCCAGUACCCCCCAACAGCCCAUCUCCAGUCCUCCAGUACCCCCAACAGCCCAUCUCCAGUCCUCCAGUACCCCCAACAGCCCAUCCAGUCUUCCAGUGAUGGAAUAGGACGUAUACACCGGCAUAAAUAAAGGUGACAGAAAUAAAGCAUAGACAGAAAGACAUUGUUCUUAGUCAGACUGGUCUGACGUAGCCUGACCUCUUCUCUGUGUCAUCUGAUAAGCUCUUUCCUCAUCACACGUUCCCUCCCAUCCCUAGAGCACGCUCUAAACUUCAUUCCCUAGAGCAACGCUCUAAACUUCAUUCCCUGGAGCAACGCUCUAAACUUCAUUCCCU